UACGGAGGGUGCAAGCGUUGUUCGGAAUUACUGGGUGUAAAGCGCGUGUAGGCGGCUUGGUAAGUCGGGUGUGAAAUCCCAGCGCUUAACCAUGGAACUGCAUUCGAUACUGUCUGGCUGGAGUCCCGUAGAGGGUGGUGGAAGGCCCAGUGUAGAGGUGAAAUUCGUAGAUAUUGUGAGGAUCACCGAUAGCGAAGGCAGCCACCUGGCCGGUCACUGACGCUGAGACGCGAAAGCGUGGGGAGCAAACAGG
rnacentral:rRNA from 1 species